AGCAGUAGCCGCGGGAAUACGGAGGGGGCUAGCGUUGUUCGGAAUUACUGGGCGUAAAGCGCACGUAGGCGGCUUGGUAAGUUAGAGGUGAAAGCCCGGAGCUCAACUCCGGAAUUGCCUUUAAGACUGCCGAGCUAGUAGGUGAGAGAGGCAAGUGGAAUUCCGAGUGUAGAGGUGAAAUUCGUAGAUAUUCGGAAGAACACCAGUGGCGAAGGCGGCUUACUGGCUCAAUCUAGACGCUGAGGUGCGAAAGCGUGGGGAGCAAACAGGAUUAGAUACCCCUGUAGUCCCUGUCUCUUAUAC
rnacentral:rRNA from 1 species